UACGUAGGGUGCAAGCGUUGUCCGGAAUUAUUGGGCGUAAAGAGCGUGUAGGCGGCCCGAUUAGUCCGCUGUGAAAGUCCAGGGCUCAACCCUGGAAUGCCGGUGGAUACUGUCGGGCUAGAGUCCGGAAGGGGCGAGUGGAAUUCCUGGUGUAGCGGUGAAAUGCGCAGAUAUCAGGAGGAACACCAAUGGCGAAGGCAGCUCGCUGGGACGGGACCGACGCUGAGACGCGAAAGCGUGGGGAGCAAACAGG
rnacentral:rRNA from 1 species